rnacentral:rRNA from 1 species
GUACACGCUGUGACUAGCAUAUCAAUAAGCGGAGGAAAAGAAACUAACAAGGAUUCCCCUAGUAACGGCGAGUGAAGCGGGAAGAGCUCAAAUUUGAAAUCUUAAAGGGUUUCCCUUUACGAAUUGUAGUUUAAAGAAGUGUUUUCUGUUGAGGUUUUGGUAAAAGUUCUUUGGAAUAGGACAUCAUAGAGGGUGAGAAUCCCGUAUUUGACCUUUACUUUCAACUUUGUGAUACACUUUCAAAGAGUCGGAUUGUUUGGGAAUGCAGUCCAAAAUGGGUGGUAAAUUUCAUCUAAAGCUAAAUAUUGGCGAGAGACCGAUAGCGAACAAGUACCGUGAGGGAAAGAUGAAAAGAACUUUGAAAAGAGAGUUAAACAGUACGUGAAAUUGUCAAAAGGGAAGCGUUUGACACCAGUGUUGUUUUUCUGAAAAUCAAUUAAAGAACUGUUUAUGCUAAGUUGUUUAGACUUUAUCAGCUAACUGUUUAGUUUUGAGCUUUUCUUUAAUGCACUUUUCAGUUAACAAGUCAACAUCAAUUUCUUUUGCUGUAAAAAAGCUUGAGGAAGGUGGCUUGAGAUUCGUCUUAAGUGUUUAUAGCCUCUUGCCUAUGCAGUCGGAGAGAUUGAGGUCUGCAGCGUAGAUCCUUCGGGGCUAAAUGCAUUUGUGCUAAGUUAUAGCAUUUUAUAGACUACUUGUUGACUAUGAUUUGUCUUGUAGCUUACUCGCUUAUGUUAUUUUACCUACGCUUAGGAUGUUGACAGCAGUAUAGACUGU